AACGAACGCUGGCGGCAGGCCUAACACAUGCAAGUCGAACGCCGUAGCAAUACGGAGUGGCAGACGGGUGAGUAACACGUGGGAACAUACCCUUCGGUUCGGGAUAACUCAGGGAAACUUGAGCUAAUACCGGAGUACGUCCGCGAGGAGAAAGAUUCAUCGCCGGAGGAUUGGCCCGCGUCUGAUUAGCUUGUUGGUGAGGUAAUGGCUCACCAAGGCGACGAUCAGUAGCGGUCUGAGAGGAUGAUCAGCCACAUUGGGGACUGAGACACGGCCCAAACUCCUACGGGAGGCAGCAGGUGGGGAAUAUUGGACAAUGGGCGCAAGCCUGAUCCAGCCAUGCCGCGUGAGUGAUGAAGGCCCUAGGGUUGUAAAGCUCUUUUACCCGGG
rnacentral:rRNA from 1 species